CCCGGCUCCUGAAAUUUGAUCAGCUGCUGUCUGAAGCUUUCCCCGAUCUAGCUUUGGGCUUUGUGGCUUUGGGAUUGGAGCUCUCAUUCUCUCUCCCUUUUUAUUCAUCCUCACUCUGAACCCCCUACUCCCACCUCAGCAUUUUUCUUUAGUGGCUGCUUUUUGUGUCCUGCUUUAGCUUGAUGUUUCUUGGGCUUCAUUUCUUGUUCUAUUCAUGGCUCAUCUCUGCUUAGCUUCCGCGUUCCUUCUAGAACCUGUGACCCGUUUUGCUCCAGGUGCUUCCCUCUUCCACAUUAUAGAUCUCUGGGUAGGCGUUUCCUUAUUCCCUGCUCGUAUCUGCCCUCUCCUGGCAGCCGUGACGUCAUUUCCGUGAACUUGACUAUAGAUCCUGAUCAGUUUUACCCUUGAUCUGGAUGUUGACUCUACCUCUUGAUCAAGGCAUGGUGCUGCAUGUAAUGGGCAACAUUUACGCAGCUUCUGGCUUUGGGCAGCUUGAUGGAGAAUACGGAGAAAACACGGGAAGCAGACAAGUCAAUGCCGCCUCCAAUGGGUUCCAUCAAGCCAACAACUGCCCAGAUUUAGAAAUGUUAGUCCAGUUAUUGAUCUAUGGGAAAUAACAACAGUAACAGUGUUCACCUGGAUGUGGAGUUCCAUAUUAUAGAAGAUUUCCAGGUAAGGUACGGUGGAUUAAAAGCAGCAAUAUUUUUCUAGUAUCAAUCAUGCUAAAGUUCGGGUGACUCAAUGUUCUUACAGAUUCUGAAUCUCAUUAAGGUUGUAACUGUGUCCAAAGUUAUUCCAAAAUACGUAAGUCUCUAUCAUGGGAGCUCUUUGCCAAGGUUGGGAUAGAAGCUGGUUUAAGAGCCUGGAAGGAGAGACAGAAGGUAUGCAUGUGCGUGAGAAGGGGAAUAAUGUUGCAAAACAUUUGGAAAGUGACUUUAAAUUUCAUGAGGAUAGGGAUAACUUAUUAUGCAGAAUUACUCUAAUAGCACAUUCAACUCUAUAAUUCCCAAUGAUGUUGACGAUUUAUUCCUUUGUGCUUCUUCUUGUAUCCAAAAGAGAUGGUUGGUAGAGCCAAUCACUCUUUAUCUCAGUUUAGAUAGAGAAAAGCACAAUAAUAUGGAAUCAACAGUAGAUCAUGGUUUUAUCUUCCAAGAUAUUAAAGCUCAAAUUCACUCAUUCAUUUAUUUCAUUUACUUAUUCAUUCAUUUAUUUAUUGAUUCAUUCAUCCAUCUAGUCAACAAAUAUUUAUUGAGCACAUACUAUGAUCCACCCAGAAGCGAUCAGGGUCUAUAGGCUGACUUAUAGCAGCCCAAGUGAGAGAAUGCUCGUUCAUUUCUAAAGAGGGAUAGUCUUUUCUCAUAAUCAGAGUUCUUGGGAAUGCCCGCUCUGAGACAACUCAAAUUUGUCAGAAGAUUGCUUGCAGAAUGUGGAAUCAAAACCAUGAUUGUUGUCUGACUUUUUGUUUCUUUCGUUAGACUAUGGAACAGUCUGGAACACGUACCUCUGCUAUAGCAGCAAUGAUUACAUUCAAUAUCCAUUCUACAAAACUUAUCACGUGAAUGUUAUGAGCCUAGCACUGUAUCAGUCUGCUGUGGGCAUGAAGAAAAUCAAAGCUGAACAGAAAUUCCAUUCGUCCAGUUCUCUCGGAGCCUGGGAAGAGGCCAAGCAGGCCAGCAGAGACGACCAGGAUGGUUGUCAACGACUUCUCCACAUUUUCUCCUGCUCCCCCACCAUCUAGAGCCUAGAGUCUCUUGCAGCGUUGGUUUUCUAGCUACACUGUCCUUCCUUUCCAUCAAGCUGUGCUGAGCACCGUCAACCACGAGAGCUAACAGCAAGGAGAAGGCAGAAUGUGUAUUUUUUUUUUAAAAAAGUCUCAAGACCUCUAGCAGCUCAGCCAUCUGAGGCCAUUUGGCCUGACCAGUGUGAACACCCAUUAUGUGACAGGAUUCUCCACAUCUUAAGAGAAGAUAUCGUUACAGGAUAGAAUCAUUUGUCUUCAUAGUCACAAGUUGAGUGAUCAAGAAAAAUUAAAAUAUUGUUGCUAAUAUUAGCCAAUUUAUUGAAAACCUUCCGUUUGUCAGGAUAAUUGUCAGGGCUUUAUAUAUAUUUAUAUAUAUAUUUUCUCAGUUCAUCUGUAUAUUUUCUAUUUAAAAAGGCAGG
ensembl:lncRNA